GCCCAGUCCAAGUGUAGUGGUGUUUAAAACUAACUAAUCACAACCAGUUACAGAUGUCUUUGUUCUCCACUAGCACUUAGCCUUAA
rnacentral:sRNA from 1 species